GAUUCGUCACACUAUCAUUAACUGAAUCCAUAGGUUAAUGAGGCGAACCGGGGGAACUGAAACAUCUAAGUACCCCGAGGAAAAGAAAUCAACCGAGAUUCCCCCAGUAGCGGCGAGCGAACGGGGAGGAGCCCAGAGCCUGAAUCAGCAUGUGUGUUAGUGGAAGCGUCUGGAAAGGCGCGCGAUACAGGGUGACAGCCCCGUACACAAAAGCGCAUAUGCUGUGAGCUCGAUGAGUAGGGCGGGACACGUGGUAUCCUGUCUGAAUAUGGGGGGACCAUCCUCCAAGGCUAAAUACUCCUGACUGACCGAUAGUGAACCAGUACCGUGAGGGAAAGGCGAAAAGAACCCCGGCGAGGGGAGUGAAAAAGAACCUGAAACCGUGUACGUACAAGCAGUGGGAGCACCCUUUGGGGUGUGACUGCGUACCUUUUGUAUAAUGGGUCAGCGACUUAUAUUCUGUAGCAAGGUUAACCGAAUAGGGGAGCCGGAGGGAAACCGAGUCUUAAUUGGGCGUUAAGUUGCAGGGUAUAGACCCGAAACCCGGUGAUCUAGCCAUGGGCAGGUUGAAGGUUGGGUAACACUAACUGGAGGACCGAACCGACUAAUGUUGAAAAAUUAGCGGAUGACCUGUGGCUGGGGGUGAAAGGCCAAUCAAACCGGGAGAUAGCUGGUUCUCCCCGAAAGCUAUUUAGGUAGCGCCUCGUGAAUUCAUCUCCGGGGGUAGAGCACUGUUUCGGCUAGGGGGCCAUCCCGGCUUACCAACCCGAUGCAAACUGCGAAUACCGGAGAAUGUUAUCACGGGAGACACACGGCGGGUGCUAACGUCCGUCGUGAAGAGGGAAACAACCCAGACCGCCAGCUAAGGUCCCAAAGUCAUGGUUAAGUGGGAAACGAUGUGGGAAGGCCCAGACAGCCAGGAUGUUGGCUUAGAAGCAGCCAUCAUUUAAAGAAAGCGUAAUAGCUCACUGGUCGAGUCGGCCUGCGCGGAAGAUGUAACGGGGCUAAACCAUGCACCGAAGCUGCGGCAGCGACACUGUGUGUUGUUGGGUAGGGGAGCGUUCUGUAAGCCUGCGAAGGUGGCCUGUGAGGGUUGCUGGAGGUAUCAGAAGUGCGAAUGCUGACAUAAGUAACGAUAAAGCGGGUGAAAAGCCCGCUCGCCGGAAGACCAAGGGUUCCUGUCCAACGUUAAUCGGGGCAGGGUGAGUCGACCCCUAAGGCGAGGCCGA
rnacentral:rRNA from 2 species